GUUCUGAAAUCUCUGAUGCAGACGCAGGCGGCAACCCUUGUAAUUCAUCUUCAGAAUCUGACGAUGACGUCGGUUCCGUCCUCGCCGACUUCGGAAGCUUUCGAUAUAACUCAGUAGUCCGAGGAAUAUCUUGUGAUUCGUCAGAUAAAUAUCGCUUAUAAGAUGGCGGAAUCUUUCUCCCAUGAUCCAUUUCUCGAUCCCACUCUUAAAAACAACUACAGAUAGGUCGCCAUUGCUCUUUCAUCUCAAUCAACUUGACGCAAUCCUCGUUCUGGAUCGCACUCCAGUUUCCGGUCGCAGGUGUGCGCAUGUGCGAUGAAAUCUGGUACAAUGCGGAAUAUUGAAUAUCAAAUGCUUAUUUUUCGCGCUUGGACCAUUACUCACAGAGCUAUUGAGUGUAGUCAGUUUGCAAAUUGCAUAUUCAUUUUUGCAUGAUCCUGUUAGACCGCUAAUUAUCACGUGAGUCCGAGUUUUAGGACCUACCGCUUAUCCGGAGGUGGAGCUUUUUAAAUAUUGUGGCGGCCUUUCGCAGCGGAGCACUAACGGUCGCGGUUCGAAGUAGUCUGACUUGAAGAACUAUCAAUAUUAACACGAUGGUAAUGUUAGCUGUUUUUGCCUUUGAUGAUUUUUCUGUCGACAUUGGUGAGCUCUCCUGGAUUGAGGGAGAAUUUGACGAGCAGAAUGAAGCACAAGAAUAUGUCGUGCGAUGGAGGGAACGAAAUGGAAAAGUUAAACUUUGUUCGGCCAAAAUAAUGGCAACCGGAGAGGAUAGGAGAGAACUGGUCGAAGUGAGGAAGAAAGCGGAGUUAGGCCUUCUGGAUGUGGCAGUCACACCUACAUCUAAAUGUGGAAAAGGCCAAAGGCGAAAAAUUCCAAAUUCAAAGAACGUGCCAUCUGAGGAUGGAAAUGAUGAGCAUGUGGCCGAGCCGAAGACCAAGUCAAAACGCAAGCAGGCAUCAACUGCACAAAGUGCCAGCAAAAGUAUUUUGCAGAAGUACAAAAAUGCACAAGUGAGAUUUCUCAUUAUGUUAGGCUGAGCUAUUCUGAGGGAAUAUGGUGAACAUUUGGAAUUAACAUACAAGUGGUCCUAUGUAUAAAUACAUGAAUAACUGUUU